rnacentral:rRNA from 1 species
AGUCAAGUAAUUAAGUGCAUGUGGUGGAUGCCUUGGCAGUCAGAGGCGAUGAAAGACGUGAUAGCCUGCGAAAAGCUCCGGGGAGGCGGCAAAUAUCCUUUGAUCCGGAGAUGUCUGAAUGGGGGAACCCACCUACUUUAAGGUAGGUAUUGCAACAUGAAUACAUAGUGUUGCAAGGCGAACGAGGGGAAGUGAAACAUCUCAGUACCCUUAGGAAAAGAAAUCAAUUGAGAUUCCCUCAGUAGCGGCGAGCGAACGGGGAUCAGCCCAUUAAGUUAUGUGUGUUUUAGUGGAACGCUCUGGGAAGUGCGAACGUAGAGGGUGAUAUUCCCGUACACGAAAGGGCACACAUAAUGAUGACGAGUAGGGCGAGGCACGUGAAACCUUGUCUGAAUAUGGGGGGACCAUCCUCCAAGGCUAAAUACUCCUGACUGACCGAUAGUGAACCAGUACCGUGAGGGAAAGGCGAAAAGAACCCCUGUGAGGGGAGUGAAAUAGAUCCUGAAACCGCAUGCAUACAAGCAGUGGGAGCACCUUCGUGGUGUGACUGCGUACCUUUUGUAUAAUGGGUCAGCGACUUAUAUUCAGUAGCAAGGUUAACCGUAUAGGGGAGCCGUAGAGAAAUCGAGUCUUAAUAGGGCGUUUAGUUGCUGGGUAUAGACCCGAAACCAGGCGAUCUAUCCAUGAGCAGGUUGAAGGUUGGGUAACACUAACUGGAGGACCGAACCCACUGUCGUUGAAAAGCCAGGGGAUGACUUGUGGAUAGGGGUGAAAGGCUAAUCAAGCCUGGUGAUAGCUGGUUCUCCCCGAAAGCUAUUUAGGUAGCGCCUCGGACGAAUACCAUAGGGGGUAGAGCACUGUUUCGGCUAGGGGGUCAUCCCGACUUACCAAACCGAUGCAAACUCCGAAUACCUAUGAGUACUAUCCGGGAGACAGACUGCGGGUGCUAACGUCCGUAGUCAAGAGGAAAACAAUCCAGACCGCCAGCUAAGGCCCCAAAAUCAUAGUUAAGUGGGAAACGAUGUGGGAAGGCAUAGACAGCUAGGAGGUUGGCUUAGAAGCAGCCACCCUUUAAAGAAAGCGUAAUAGCUCACUAGUCGAGUCGGCCUGCGCGGAAGAUGUAACGGGGCUAAAACUAUGUGCCGAAGCUGCGGAUGUAUACUUUGUAUACGUGGUAGGGGAGCGUUCUGUAAGCCGAUGAAGGUGUGUUGAGAAGCAUGCUGGAGGUAUCAGAAGUGCGAAUGCUGACGUGAGUAACGACAAAACGGGUGAAAAACCCGUUCGCCGAAAGACCAAGGGUUCCAGUCCAACGUUAAUCGGGGCUGGGUGAGUCGACCCCUAAGGCGAGGCCGAAAGGCGUAGUCGAUGGGAAAAUGGUUAAUAUUCCAUUACUUCUGUGUAAUGCGAUGAGAGGACGGAGAAGGCUAAAUCAGCCUGGCGUUGGUUGUCCAGGUGAAAGGAUGUAGGCAUGUAUCUUAGGCAAAUCCGGGGUACUCUAUGCUGAGAUCUGAUAGCAAGCUGUACUUGUACAGCGAAGUGGUUGAUGCCAUGCUUCCAGGAAAAGUCUCUAAGCUUCAGUUACACAGGAAUCGUACCCGAAACCGACACAGGUGGUCAGGUCGAGUAGACCAAGGCGCUUGAGAGAACUCUGCUGAAGGAACUAGGCAAAAUGGUACCGUAACUUCGGGAGAAGGUACGCUGUUGUUGGUGAUGGAACUUGCUUCCUGAGCUGACGACAGCCGCAGAAACCAGGCCGCUGCAACUGUUUAUUAAAAACAUAGCACUCUGCAAACACGAAAGUGGACGUAUAGGGUGUGAUGCCUGCCCGGUGCUGGAAGGUUAAUUGAUGGGGUUAGCGUAAGCGAAGCUCUUGAUCGAAGCCCCAGUAAACGGCGGCCGUAACUAUAACGGUCCUAAGGUAGCGAAAUUCCUUGUCGGGUAAGUUCCGACCUGCACGAAUGGCAUAAUGAUGGCGGCGCUGUCUCCAGCAGAGGCUCAGUGAAAUCGAAAUCGCUGUGAAGAUGCAGUGUACCCGCGGCUAGACGGAAAGACCCCGUGAACCUUUACUGCAGCUUGACACUGAACUUUGACCUUACUUGUGUAGGAUAGGUGGGAGGCUUUGAAGCUGGAACGCUAGUUCCAGUGGAGCCGUCCUUGAAAUACCACCCUGGUAAUGUUGAGGUUCUAACUCUGUCCCGUGAUCCGGGACGAGGACCGUGUCUGGUGGGUAGUUUGACUGGGGCGGUCUCCUCCUAAAGAGUAACGGAGGAGUACGAAGGUGCGCUCAGCGUGGUCGGAAAUCACGCGUAGAGUAUAAAGGCAAAAGCGCGCUUAACUGCGAGACCCACAAGUCGAGCAGGUACGAAAGUAGGUCUUAGUGAUCCGGUGGUUCUGUAUGGAAGGGCCAUCGCUCAACGGAUAAAAGGUACUCUGGGGAUAACAGGCUGAUACCGCCCAAGAGUUCAUAUCGACGGCGGUGUUUGGCACCUCGAUGUCGGCUCAUCUCAUCCUGGGGCUGAAGCAGGUCCCAAGGGUAUGGCUGUUCGCCAUUUAAAGAGGUACGCGAGCUGGGUUUAGAACGUCGUGAGACAGUUCGGUCCCUAUCUACCGUGGGCGCUGGAAAUUUGAGAGGAUCUGCUCCUAGUACGAGAGGACCAGAGUGGACGAACCUCUGGUGUACCGGUUGUGACGCCAGUCGCAUCGCCGGGUAGCUAUGUUCGGAAGGGAUAACCGCUGAAAGCAUCUAAGCGGGAAGCCUACCUCAAGAUAAGAUUUCCCUAGGACUUUAUGUCCUCUAAAGAGCCGUUCGAGACUAGGACGUUGAUAGGUUGGAUGUGGAAGCAUAGUGAUAUGUGAAGCUGACCAAUACUAAUUGCUCGUGAGGCUUGACUAU